rnacentral:rRNA from 1 species
UACGAAGGGGGCUAGCGUUGCUCGGAAUCACUGGGCGUAAAGCGCACGUAGGCGGAUUGCUAAGUCAGGGGUGAAAUCCUGGAGCUCAACUCCAGAACUGCCUUUGAUACUGGCGAUCUCGAGUUCGGGAGAGGUGAGUGGAACUGCGAGUGUAGAGGUGAAAUUCGUAGAUAUUCGCAAGAACACCAGUGGCGAAGGCGGCUCACUGGCCCGAUACUGACGCUGAGGUGCGAAAGCGUGGGGAGCAAACGGG